AUGGCUGUCGUCAGCUCGUGUCGUGAGAUGUUGGGUUAAGUCCCGCAACGAGCGCAACCCUUAUUUCAUGUUGCCAGCGCGUAAUGGCGGGGACUCGUGAGAGACUGCCGGGGUCAACUCGGAGGAAGGUGGGGAUGACGUCAAGUCAUCAUGCCCCUUAUGUCCAGGGCUUCACACAUGCUACAAUGGCCGGUACAAAGGGCUGCGAUGCCGCGAGGCUUAGCGAAUCCUUUAAAGCCGGUCUCAGUUCGGAUCGGGGUCUGCAACUCGACCCCGUGAAGUCGGAGUCGCUAGUAAUCGCAGAUCAGCAACGCUGCGGUGAAUACGUUCCCGGGCCUUGUACACACCGCCCGUCACGUCAUGAAAGUCGGUAACACCCGAAGCCAGUGGCCCAACCUUUUAGGAGGGAGCCGUCGAAGGUGGGGUCGGUGAUUGGGGUGAAGUCGUAACAAGGUAGCCGUACCGGAAGGUGCGGCUGGAUCACCUCCUUUCUAAGGAGUCACUGUUCGGGCCAUUCCGGCUCGGAUACUCCUAGUCGAUCACUGACUAUUCGCUGUCAACUCCAUCCCGCCCCUGGCGGACCGCACAUCGUUUUUCGAUGUCCCGUCCGUGAGGCCUGUGGGCCCUGGGGAUGGCAACGGGCAUCACUAUUCCGUUUUGAGGGAGUGACCUCUGGUACCUGCUCUUCGAGCAACCCGGAGCGAUUCCGACCCUCCGACGCGACGCCGACCUUCGCCACUUGUGGCAGGUCGUCGGCCUCUCGCCCGUGCUCCCCGCACCCCCGCAUCGGUCUGUUCUUUGAUGCCUGUGGCCCGGCGGGCGCGCUGUGCGCACCUUGAGAAUUCCAUAGCGAGCACGAGCAUCUAUGUUCUCCAAGUUAUAAAGAGUCAACGGCGGAUGCCUUGGCGCCUGAAGCCGAAGAAGGACGUGGGAGGCUGCGAUAAGCCACGGGGAGCUGCCUACCAAGCGCGGAUCCGUGGACGUCCGAAUGGGGAAACCCGG
rnacentral:sRNA from 1 species